GGGACGUUGCAGCUGCCUAAAACAAUGUGGUGUUUCGUGGUCUACAGCAGCCUCCAUGGGCCUCUGGGGGCUCUGUGCGGGUCACCGAGGUUCUCAUCAUGGCCUUGCCAGCCGGCCAGCCAGGGAAACAGGCCACGCAGAGGGCAGGGCUGCAGCUGGUGCCCACCAGUGCUGAGGGACAGUGCCCACGUCCCCCAGAUUCGGGCCGGAAGCCGGGUGCUUGCUCUGAGACGCCAGGUUGGAAGGAGAGAGGACACCGAUUCCCGUGCAGCCUGGAGGUGGAGCUCAGUGGUCACCGGGAGACAAUAAGAAAAGCUGCCUCAUCAGGAGGAGCCCUGCAAGGUCCCAGAUCAGAUCAGACACAGUGGGGCGGUCAGCGGAGUGGCCAUCUGCAGAGUGAGCACUCGAAGGGCUUUAAGUCAAAAUCAAUUUCUAUUAAAUCUUUGGCUAA